rnacentral:rRNA from 1 species
GAACCACCCAAACGUUAUUCGGAAUCACUGGGCUUAAAGCGUGCGUAGGCGGCCUGCAAAGUUGGGUGUGAAAUCCCUCGGCCUAACCGAGGAAUUGCGCCCAAAACUAGUGGGCUAGAGGGAGAUAGAGGUAAGCGGAACUAAUGGUGGAGCGGUGAAAUGCGUUGAUAUCAUUAGGAACACCGGUGGCGAAAGCGGCUUACUGGGUCUCUUCUGACGCUGAGGCACGAAAGCUAGGGUAGCGAACGGGAUUAGAUACCCCGGUAGUCCUAGCCGUAAACGAUGAGCACUAGGUCGAGGGACUUCCACAGUUCCCCGGCCGUAGCGAAAGUGUUAAGUGCUCCGCCUGGGGAGUAUGGUCGCAAGGCUGAA